UUAUCCAAUGUUGUUUGAGCUUCGAAAUGAUUCCACGGAACGGGUUUCUCACUGUGGGGUUUUGGAGUUCAUUGCAGAAGAGGGCUUGAUAUAUAUGCCAUAUUGGAUGAUGGAAAAUUUAUGCCUACAAGAAGGCGACACUGUGACAGUGAAAAAUGUAACUCUUCCUAAGGGUAAAUAUGUCAAGCUGCAACCCCACACGAAGGAUUUUCUGGAUAUUUCUAACCCGAAGGCCAUCUUGGAGACGACACUCAGAAACUUUUCCUGCUUAACCACAGGAGAUAGUAUUAUGGUGGCUUACAACAAUAAAAAAUACUAUAUAGAUAUUGUGGAGACCAAACCUUCUAAUGGAAUAAGUAUUAUUGAGACAGACUGUGAAGUAGACUUUGCUCCCCCACUUGAUUACAAAGAACCUGAAAGAACGGCUCCUUCUCGUCCAAGCAACUCUCCAGCAGAAGUUCAAGAGGAUGCAACAGAAGUUGUUGAGCCAAAAUUCAACCCUUUUACUGGUGGAGCGAGGCGUUUGGAUGGUAAACCCUUAAAACAGCAGCUUCCACCAUCUUCUUCCUCUUCUGGGUCCUCAGAUAAGCAAGUCAACGCUACUAAUGGCGGUAAGAAAUCUGCUGCUGCUCCAAGCUCCCAAAGCUCUAGUCGUCAGUCACAAGGGAAGCUUGUAUUUGGUUCAAAUGCAAACCGCGCUCCUGAAAAACAGAAGGAACCUGUGAAAGAGGAACCUCAAAAGAAAGAAGAGCCCAAGUUUCAGGCUUUCUCUGGGAAAAAAUACUCCUUGAGGGGUUAAUUGCGUAUUAACCUUUUCUUUUGUCAGUCAAAUAUCUUAAUUAUGUGUAACUUGUUGACUAUAUUUUAUACAAUUUGAUUUUCAUUGCAAAUGAUGGAAUGAUGUACUCCCUAAUUAAUUGAGGAGCACAUCCAGAAUGGUUGGCCAACUCGAUCCAAAAUUUAAGAAGAUUGAAG
rnacentral:misc_RNA from 1 species